rnacentral:rRNA from 1 species
UACCUAGUGGCAGACGGGUGAGUAACACGUAGUCAACCUACCCUUGCGUGGGGGAUAACUAGCCGAAAGGUUAGCUAAUACCGCAUACGAUCGUCGAGAGGCAUCUUUUGACGAUGAAAGGAGCAAUUCGCGCGAGGACGGGACUGCGUCCCAUUAGCUAGUAGGUGGGGUAAAGGCCUACCUAGGCGAUGAUCAGUAGCUGGUCUGAGAGGAUGAUCAGCCACACUGGGACUGAGACACGGCCCAGACUCCUACGGGAGGCAGCAGUGGGGAAUUUUGGACAAUGGGCGCAAGCCUGAUCCAGCCAUUCCGCGUGAGUGAAGAAGGCCUUCGGGUUGUAAAGCUCUUUCGGCAGGGAAGAAAAGGUCUGGGUUAAUAACCUGGACUGCUGACGGUACCUGAAGAAGAAGCACCGGCUAACUACGUGCCAGCAGCCGCGGUAAUACGUAGGGUACGAGCGUUAAUCGGAAUUACUGGGCGUAAAGCGUGCGCAGGCGGUUUAUCAAGUCUGACGUGAAAGCCCCGGGCUUAACCUGGGAACGGCGUUGGAAACUGAUAGACUUGAGUGCGGCAGAGGGGGGUAGAAUUCCACGUGUAGCAGUGAAAUGCGUAGAUAUGUGGAGGAAUACCGAUGGCGAAGGCAGCCCCCUGGGUUGACACUGACGCUCAUGCACGAAAGCGUGGGUAGCAAACAGGAUUAGAUACCCUGGUAGUCCACGCCCUAAACGAUGUCAACUAGUUGUUGGGGAGGGAGACCUCCUUGGUAACGCAGCUAACGCGUGAAGUUGACCGCCUGGGGAGUACGGUCGCAAGAUUAAAACUCAAAGGAAUUGAC